GAUGAACGCUGGCGGCGUGCCUAAUACAUGCAAGUCGAGCGAACAGACGAGGAGCUUGCUCCUCUGACGUUAGCGGCGGACGGGUGAGUAACACGUGGAUAACCUACCUAUAAGACUGAGAUAACUUCGGGAAACCGGAGCUAAUACCGGAUAAUAUAUUGAACCGCAUGGUUCAAUAGUGUAAGACGGUUUUGCUGUCACUUAUAGAUGGAUCCGCGCCGCAUUAGCUAGUUGGUAAGGUAACGGCUUACCAAGGCAACGAUGCGUAGCCGACCUGAGAGGGUGAUCGGCCACACUGGAACUGAGACACGGUCCAGACUCCUACGGGAGGCAGCAGUAGGGAAUCUUCCGCAAUGGGCGAAAGCCUGACGGAGCAACGCCGCGUGAGUGAUGAAGGUCUUCGGAUCGUAAAACUCUGUUAUUAGGGAAGAACAAAUGUGUAAGUAACUAUGCACGUCUUGACGGUACCUAAUCAGAAAGCCACGGCUAACUACGUG
rnacentral:rRNA from 1 species